ACCUGCUUUGCUGGCUAAAUCUGGCCAAGGCAGCAGUGUGCAGUAGAUAAUGAGAAUCUAGCAAUUAGAGCUAACUUUUUAAAUACCCUUUAUGUGCCAGACACCAUACUAAUCUCUUUAAAGAUCUUAGCAACCCUGUAAGUGCUUUUAUUAUUCCCAUUUUACAGAUAAAGAAACUGGUGCUGCGGGAGGUUAAAUAAUAAGCUCAAGGACUUAGAAGUUACGUGGCGUAGCUGGGAUUCCCUUCCGCAGUCCGGCUUUUAGUCCGAAGCCUUAAUCAUGAUGUUCCUGUACUUCAUAACAGAGAAGCAAGAGCUGAUGCACUAAGGGAGCAGAGGCCAUGGGGGACCAAGGAGGAUGUAGAUCUCAAGCCCUGAAAUCAUCACGAUGCCACUUUUCUACACCAAAAAAUGCCUGUUCCUCCUUCACGGAAUUCCUCUCUGGAUUCUCCCUGGAGCCUGGCUAGCCUCCCCAUGUCCCCAGACAUCAGCCGGGCUCCCUUCUCCAAGCCCCCAUGACACUGUACGUUUCUCCACCACAUUGCGACAUACAGUAAUCGACUUCCAACUCUGCCUCCCCCUUUUAAAGGGAGCUCUCUGAAAGCAUAGGCUCUCGUCAUGUGAGUGGCUGGUGAGUAAAUUAAUAUUUACCUUUAAUUUACCGAGUUCUUUGUCAUCUACUUUCCCCUGAUCCUUACUGAAGCUUUGUAAGUAGGGCAAGCAUUACAUGAUCUCUCAUUUAUAGAUGAGAAAAGAGGGCUUCAGCUGCUGGAUGACUAGUCCAUAGUCAACCCCAUCAGCUGAGUGAGGGAAAAGGGAAGCAAACAUGGAGUGAGUCCUUUGGACUUUAAUUCCAUUGCCCCUUUUCACUACUUUUCUAUUGCUUCCUUUUAACAGAAGCUAAAUCCUUGUAGGAAAGGGAAAAGAUCUCAAGGAAGACUGAGGGGAGAUGGCAACACAUAGAGAAACCACAGUUUCAGGGUUCCGAGAAAUCGAAGGUCAAGUUGUUGAGUGUGAGGAGAACGUGGGGCAGGGUUCUGUUAACUGACUUUCAGACUUGAGGGAAGAUGCUCUUUGACUAAAAUAAGGUAGAUGGGGAUGGCAGUGGGGAGAAACCAACCAUCCAGAUUAUACCUAAAAUCUGGUCUCAAGCACCCCGUCACAGAGCAUCAUUUCUUUUUAGCCACCCUCUGGAUUGUUCUAAGUGAUGACGAAUAAUUUUAUAAAAGUCUUGAACUGCUACUUGGAGUCCUUUUUAGAGCUAAGAGCAAAACAAACAAACAUGAAGUCCUACAGAGCUGAGAAUAAGCUCUGGAGAGAGUGAGAGUAGUGGAAAUAGUUACUGGGGUGAGGAAGGAGAUCGCAGUGUAUUUUGUUUCAAACCCCACGACCUUGUCUUCUCAGCCACUUGCAAGGGCAGUGGGCGGUCUGAGCUUGGUGGGAGUCGGGGGUGCAGGGGAG
rnacentral:lncRNA from 1 species